rnacentral:lncRNA from 1 species
AUGGCACGAACAUUUUAAAUAUUAAUUGACAUUGCCAAAUUGCCUUCCACAAAAAGGAUGUGAAAAAUGUACGCUCUUAACAGGCUAUGGGAGCUCAUACAGAGAAGCUGCUCUUGGGUAGAAGUGACAGAAAUCCCAACUCAGAAUGGUUUAAACAAAUGAAAACAUGUUGGCUUAUAUAAAGGGAAGUUUGCUGUAAGGGCUUAACACGUAUUAUCAGAGCCAGGUUGUUUUAGGGUCCUAGCUCAGCUCUGCGGCCUGCUGAGUGUUUGCCUAAAUGUCAGAUAGGUCACUCCUCAUGGUCACAGGAAGGCUGCCAGCAGCGCCUGGGCCACAUGGUCCUGGGUCCACAUCAGAGGAACAGCACUUCCAGGAAACACUCUGAUCGGGCUGCUACUGUGAUGGGCUCUUGGACGACUCGGUGCCAUCACGGCAAUGUGACCUGACGCAGGGGCUGAUUUAGCUCAGGGUCACAUGUUGUAGCCCUAGGGCUGGGUGUGGCUGGGUGUGCUGCUCACACCAGAUGGAGAAUGAGCGUGCCUGGCCCAGCCUCAGAAGUGCCCUGGGCUUGCUUGACUGCUGCUGUCAUCUUGAAGUUCUUAAUAAAUGUUAAACAUUUCGCACCGGGACCUACAAAUCAUGUUGCCAAUCACAGAUGAAAAUUCGGGCUGCUUUUAGAAAACAGAGGCAAUAUAGCUGGGUUGACAAAACACAAAUGUCUACUGCAAUGGUUACGUGCUAAGUAAUAUGAUUUAAACAAUUCCUCCUUGAACGGUUUUAUUGCUUGCUGUCUCUAAUCCUCUGCUCGAUACCAAAAAUGACAGGGCUGGGUGGGGUGGUCCCCGCAAGUGGUCUAGCUCUGCUUUUCCCCAACAAAUGUCUGCCUCCCUUGGGCUGUGGAAAUUAAUCUGUACCUGCACCAAGUUUAUGGACAGGGUGAUGUUCUUGAAGUUAAGCUGCUUCAACUGUACUGGUAUUAAAAAGUGGCCACCAAUUAAAACGGGGAGAAAAUCAACCAUGUUACAGGAAUGAGAAAACUAAAUGGAUGGGCCCCAGCUUUACUCAGCUCCUAGCAACCACCAGUGUUAUGGAAAAUUUCCAAUAUGAAAAUCCCAAGGUUUAGGGCAAUGCUUUUUGAAGAUUCUUGUAAAUAGGUAACAGCUUGGUGUGGUGGAUUAGACAUAUUUUUUCAGUCUGCUUUCUUUUCACACGUAACCCAAUUAUUUUCCUCUAAUUGAGGAGCAAAGCAGACACUUAAAUGGCAUCUAAGUAUUUCUGAUGUGCUUCUUUCAUCCUCAUAAAUGGUCCCAUCCAUAUAUUUCAGUGAAAAUUAUAUUGUAUGGCCAUCUUUCAAAAAAGUGAUUUAUUUUUUACUUCAGCUAUCAAUAUGUGACUAUAUUCUCUUGUAAAAAGAAAAAAAAAAAGGAAGAAAAUGGAGCAUUUCAGGUGAGGUUAAAGUCCUUUCUGACCACCUCUCCCCACCUCACUCUAUCACUCAUUCUCCAUCCUUGUCCCUUCUCAGAGGUAAUUGCCCUAAUCAGGUCUUAGCUUUUUCUAGAAUGUUCUAAGCUUUUAGAUACCUAUAUAUCUCCCUAAAAAAUGGCUACAAUUGUUUUGUUCUGUUUUGACAUAAAAGGCAUCAUCAUGCAGCUCUCUCUUUAAAAAAAAAAAAACAAAAAAACCUCAACAUAGCUUGGCGAGCUUUCCACACAAUAUGCACAUUUUUAACUGCAGGAAAGUUUGUGCUGUAGAAAUAUUCCACAUUAGAUAAAGCCUCGAUGGGCCUUUAGGGUGAUUUGUGGUUUCCACUCUUUCACGCAAGAAUGCUGCAGUGACCAUCUCCGCGUGGGCCUUUGAGGGCAGCAUGUCUGCUCAGCAUGGCCUUUGCGAUGGCUGACGGGCUAGCCCCAGAACCCACACCUCUGGGGAAGCAGAGGCAGUGAGCCUGGGCAGAGGGGGCCUGGGCUGUGAUGAAGCUGCAGCAAGGCCUUUGUCACCUCCAUGGUGGGAGGUGCGCUCUGGAGCAGGGCUAUUGAGAGCUAUUCCGAGCUGGAGCCACAGGACAGGUGUCUUGCACCCCACAUCCACUGGUCACUGGUCGUGGACUGCCUUGGGGGAGGGACGUGACUUGAAGGUCUUCAGCAAUCCCCUGGGAUGGGAAGGGCAGAGGUGUCGCGCUGGGGCCUUGGCUGUGGCUGUCAGCCAGGAACAGAGGGGACAGUGUGAGAAGAAGGAGGUUGGGUCCUGUGGAUGCGGUGGGGGCAGGGACCCACAGACUCACGGCGUUCCCACAGUUAAAGACUGAGGUGAGAUUGCCUUUAGUGGGCUGUGGACUUGUCGGGCGGGUGUGGUCUGGAGAGGAUGCUUGAUUUCAAAGGGAAAAGACACUGUCAGAUAACCCGAGACAAAACCUGAGGCCUCCGGGACAUGUGCCACCAUCCUGCAGCUUUGCAGACAUUUCCAAAACCAGCCUGAUCUGCAGCGGCUUAGCCUGUCUCAUUCUAAAACCCACCAAGGUAACUUAGCCUUAUCACUUCCCUUCAAGCCAAGUGGCCUUGAAGGUCAUGUCCAGGCUCUGAUCCCUUGUCAAAUGUUUCUGGUCAGUGCCCUACUUCAGAGCCGGCAGGACUGAAUGCAAUGCAUCUCAACGUGGGCUGUCCUCCCGUGGCCACAUCAUUUGGAGGAACUUGAAUAAACUGGGGCUUGAUAACUUGUUUUUAUACAAUACAUUUUAUUAAAUAUAAAUGGGAAUCAUUAGCUGAAACACUUAAUUAAAACCAUGGCCAAAUUAGAUAAAUGCUAAGGAGAGGUCUCUAAAUUUAUUGCCCGAUGAUCUAUAGGCUUGCUCAGUAAUAUACUCCCGGAAACCUCCUUAAUGAAGCUAUUAAGCACAUAAAUAUCAUACGUGCCAAAUGUCGAAAUUUAGUGAUGAUAUAUCCCAGUUUACUUGCUAAGUAAAUAUACCCCCUUGAAAGAAGCCACUAAUUCAUGCUGCUGAGGACCAGAGCACGAAACUCCUCACCUGCCUGAAAACAGACCUUUAGAAAGAGGCAAUUUCUGGCACCCCGAGGCCAGGAAGCAAGGAGCUGCUCCCCACCAGUAAGCCAGGGGCUUCCGGUCUUGUGCUCUGUUUCUUAAACUUUCCUUCUUACAAAGGCAGAGCAGGUGCCACUGGCCACAGACUUGUUCCUCUGUGCUAACCGACUUGGAGUCUGGGGGAAGCUUCUCGACGUGCAGAGGGGGGUGAGUUCAGGGCUCCUCUGGCACCUGGGAGGCCCAGGAGGGCUGCAGGUGUGUGAGGUCUGGAGGUGUGGCCUCGAAGGACCCAGACUCCUCAGCCCUCUCACCCUUAGGAUCUUGCUCAUCUGAGCUGCCAAACCUCCCCCGCUAACAGCAACGCGGUCUCCUGCGCCUCAUUCAGGUGCCCAGGCAGGGGGCCUGGGAGGUAGUCUGCUUUGAUGGCCACCUUGGCCCAGAAUGGGCACUUUGGGAACUGGCCCGCCUUCCCUGUUCUCUUAACUGACCUUGCCUACUGCUCUUGUCCUGCCCUGCUCCCUGCUGCAGCUGCAUCAGCACCUUGACACCUGCCUUCCCCCUAUCCGGAGUGCCCUACACUCCCCCAAAGCUCCCCAAUAACCGCACGGCUGCUUCCCCCACCCCACCCCGAUGCCCAGGCUGCCAGGAAUCUCUCCUCAUCCCGUCCGAACAGGACGUGUUUUUCCGUUGUCCCUCACUCUGCCUUUUGCUUGUUCCAUAGUGCUUGUCACCACCUGACAUAUUUCAUAUUUAUCCAUUCAUAGUCUGUCUUCCCUCCCAUGAAUGUAAACGCCACUGGAGCCGGGGGAGGAAAUAGUCACUAUUUGUUCACGGUGAAUCCCUAGCACCUAAUUCAAGGCCUGGCACACAGCUGAUGCUCACCAGUCUUUCAAAAAUGAAUGAAUGAAUGAAUGAAUAAAUGAAUGACUAAUAAGCAGCAGCCACUGGGAGCCACACUGUGCAGGAACGAGAGCUACACCUGCUCCCAGAACAGUUCCCAGCUAGCAGGGAGCUGAAAUGAAGUAAAGAGGAGAUGACAAAAAAGCAGGCAGAGUUCUCCCAUUCAGGGGGGGAGAGUGGGGACCAGCAAGGCUCUCCAGAGAAAUGAAGGGGAAGACGAGUCUGUAAGGGAGCCCCAGGUGAAUGGGGCUCAGUGAGGCUGGAGCCAUGAGCGCCAGGACUGGAGGCUUGGUCCUGGAGGUGUGUGCCUGGAGAAGGGGGAGGCAACCUUGGAGUGGUGCCAUCAUCCUGGGAGUGUGCAUGGUGAGAGGGGAGAGGCCAAGGACAGACCAGCGACAUGCAGGGGCCCUGAAUGAGACAAGCAGCAGUUCCCAGGGGCUGGGCUGAGCCAGAGCCAGGGGGCCCAGCAGCUAGGAGAGAGCCAGCCAAGGGCGCCAUCAAACCAUCAGCUGUUCCUCUGCAGCCAGAAGGCUCAGGUCAGGAGAAGGAUAUUCUGGUCUGAGCACGGGGCUCCAAGGUGACUGGUGGGUCCAGACUAACCGGCAGUGGAGAGAGGCGAGCACAAAAGGGUGCGUGGAGACGAAUGGGACAGACGCUCUUUCCAGAGGUUGGACUGUGGGAUCCGUAACAGUAAAUCCCAUUUACUGAGGAGAAAACGAAGCUCACAGUGUCUCAAGUGGGCGCAGGACCACCUGCUUUCAACGUGUGCUGGAGGUCAUUCUGAGAGUGGGUCCCACGUGCAGGUGUGUUUGGGAGAUGCUUUCAGCUGGCCCAGGGACAUGGCACCAAGUGACCAGGCAUCUGUAGAUCAGUCCCGGCCUUUACCUCUCUGUCGGCUCUGGGUACCCAAGCAGAAAGCCUCCUUCCUGGUGGUGCUGGCCAAUCUCCCACCUGCCCAUCUGCCUUUCUCACCAGGACAGGAGCCUCUGUGGAUGUAGCAUCUGGUGACUGCAUACCAUGGACUUUCUUUGAACUGAUUUCUAAAAUCAUUUUAUACUGCAGGCAAGUGGGUUUUGUUUUGUUUCCUUCAAGAUGGUAAUACCAAGUUUCUUGCAAAAAUGCAUUCAGUAAGAAAGUGAGUCAGUUUAAAACAAAUUAAAAGUUGAGUAAAUUAGGUAAUGUUACCUAAUAGGUAAUAUGAAGAGAUGCCAGGCCAGGGGAGGGGGGUGCUGGUUGGGACCUCCUGGGCCCCAUCAUGCCAUGAAGAUGGUCUGACGUCACUGUGCUCCAGUGACAAUGGGUGGGGUAAUCUAGUUACUCUGGUACUGGGUUGAACAGUGUCCCCUAGAAAUGCAUGUCCAUGGGGGACCUCAGAAUGUGACCAAUUUGGAAAUAGGGGCUUUGCAGAUGUAAUUAGUUAAAUGAGGUUAUACUGGACCAGGGUGGAUCCUAAGACAAUGACUUUUGUCCUUAUUAGAGGAAAAUUUGGACACAGAGACAGACAUACAGGAAAGAGGCCCUGCGAUGACAGAGGCAGAGACUGGAGUGACACAGCCACUUGCCCAGAAAUGCCACAGGUUGCCAGCAGCUGCCAGACACGGGGGGAGGGGGGCACAGGGGGACUCUUCAGAUACUCUGGAAGAAGCACAGUAUGACUGCCAACACUUUGACCUCAGACUUCCAGCCUCAGGGUUCUCUUGUGGCACAACGGGUUAAGGAUCUGGCAUUGUCACUUCAGCAGCUUGGGUCACUGCUCUGGCAUGAGUUCAAUCCCCAGCCUGGGGAACUUUCACAAGGCCCAGGCAAGGCCAGAAAGAAAACAAAGAAAGAAAGAAAACUAAAUAGACUUCCAGCCUUCAGAACUGUGAGAGGACAUACUUCUGCUGUUUUAAGCCACCUGGUUUACGGUCAUUUGUGACAGCAGCCACAGGAGACCUUAUACAACCAAUUUCUGAAAAUUGAUCAUUAGAUGAUCCAUUAGUAAUUAAGAAAAAUGGCCUUAUUUGGUAUAUUGAUGAGCACUUUGAUAUUCAUAAAAUUUCUUUCUUGUAGUUGUUAUCCUGGGUGAAUCCUUCUGGAGCCAUAAGGUGGAAACAUAUUCUGACCCAAACCA